GACAGAGGUGGCAAGCGUUGUUCGGAUUCAUUGGGUGUAAAGGGUCCGUAGGUGGUCUAGCAAGUCUGAUGUGAAAUCCCAUGGCUCAACCGUGGAACUGCAUUGGAAACUGUUGGACUUGAGUACCGCAGAGGUAAAGGGAAUUCCCGGUGUAAGGGUGAAAUCUGUAGAUAUCGGGAGGAACACCAGUGGCGAAGGCGCUUUACUGGGCGGUUACUGACACUGAGGGACGAAAGCAAGGGGAGCAAACAGG
rnacentral:rRNA from 1 species